rnacentral:rRNA from 1 species
GACGAACGCUGGCGGCGUGCUUAACACAUGCAAGUCGAACGGAAAGGCCCUGCUUUUGUGGGGUGCUCGAGUGGCGAACGGGUGAGUAACACGUGAGUAACCUGCCCUUGACUUUGGGAUAACUUCAGGAAACUGGGGCUAAUACCGGAUAGGAGCUCCUGCUGCAUGGUGGGGGUUGGAAAGUUUCGGCGGUUGGGGAUGGACUCGCGGCUUAUCAGCUUGUUGGUGGGGUAGUGGCUUACCAAGGCUUUGACGGGUAGCCGGCCUGAGAGGGUGACCGGCCACAUUGGGACUGAGAUACGGCCCAGACUCCUACGGGAGGCAGCAGUGGGGAAUAUUGCACAAUGGGCGGAAGCCUGAUGCAGCAACGCCGCGUGCGGGAUGACGGCCUUCGGGUUGUAAACCGCUUUCGCCUGUGACGAAGCGUGAGUGACGGUAAUGGGUAAAGAAGCACCGGCUAACUACGUGCCAGCAGCCGCGGUGAUACGUAGGGUGCGAGCGUUGUCCGGAUUUAUUGGGCGUAAAGGGCUCGUAGGUGGUUGAUCGCGUCGGAAGUGUAAUCUUGGGGCUUAACCCUGAGCGUGCUUUCGAUACGGGUUGACUUGAGGAAGGUAGGGGAGAAUGGAAUUCCUGGUGGAGCGGUGGAAUGCGCAGAUAUCAGGAGGAACACCAGUGGCGAAGGCGGUUCUCUGGGCCUUUCCUGACGCUGAGGAGCGGAAGCGUGGGGAGCGAACAGGCUUAGAUACCCUGGUAGUCCACGCUGUAAACGGUGGGUACUAGGUGUGGGGUCCAUUCCACGGGUUCCGUGCCGUAGCUAACGCUUUAAGUACCCCGCCUGGGGAGUACGGCCGCAAGGCUAAAACUCAAAGGAAUUGACGGGGCCCCGCACAAGCGGCGGAGCAUGCGGAUUAAUUCGAUGCAACGCGUAGAACCUUACCUGGGUUUGACAUGGAUCGGGAGUGCUCAGAGAUGGGUGUGCCUCUUUUGGGGUCGGUUCACAGGUGGUGCAUGCCUGUCGUCAGCUCGUGUCGUGAGAUGUUGGGUUAAGUCCCGCAACGAGCGCAACCCUUGUUCACUGUUGCCAGCACGUUAUGGUGGGGACUCAGUGGAGACCGCCGGGGUCAACUCGGAGGAAGGUGGGGAUGACGUCAAGUCAUCAUGCCCCUUAUGUCCAGGGCUUCACGCAUGCUACAAUGGCUGGUACAGAGAGUGGCGAGCCUGUGAGGGUGAGCAAAUCUCGGAAAGCCGGUCUCAGUUCGGAUUGGGGUCUGCAACUCGACCUCAUGAAGUCGGAGUCGCUAGUAAUCGCAGAUCAGCAACGCUGCGGUGAAUACGUUCCCGGGGCU